GGGCGAUUAGCUCAGCUGGUUAGAGCACCUGCCUUACAAGCAGGGGGUCGAAAGUUCGAAUCUUUCAUCGCCCA
rnacentral:tRNA from 1 species